AGUUCUUCAUAGCGUCUUUAACUUCCAAACUAGCAACAUCUGCAAUUGACCGCGCGUGUGUGACCGCGAACGACAUGUACGUGAUGGUGGUUGGCGCCAAAGGGGACGAGUGUCUUCCGGACGACGAGCAGGUGGACCCAGAGCGUCGGAUACCGGAGAAACUCGGACCCCGGCGAGA